rnacentral:lncRNA from 1 species
GGAAAUGUCGGAAAGUGAUUAAAGUGAUUAAAAUGAUUAAUGUGUUUGUUUCUUGUUUUUUUUGUUAUGAUGAGUUUUCUUGUUUUUAAGUUAAUGUUUUAAUCAUUAUGUAUGGACAAGUUAUUUUGUAUUAAGUUAUGUACUUUUGGUUGUUUUGUUAUUUAUUUAUGUAUUCAUAUUAUAUGUUAUAUUAUCAUACAAUAUAUGGU